AUGGAGUCGCUUGCCUCGCAAGCGAAGCCGGCUGCCGUGCUCUGGCUCGCCGGCUUCCUCCAGGCCGCGCGUCUGCACCGCGUCGUCUCCUUCUGCGUCAGCUUGCUAACCUUGAAAUCAGUGGUCAUUCCAACUCUUCUAUGGAUACUGCCCGAGCAAUGCGAUCAAUCAUGGGGACAACAUCUAUGUGAUCACACAACAGCUGUUGCCUUGUAUUCGUUCUUACGUUCGGGGCUUGUCGAGAUUUUCUAUGUAUUUUGGUUUUAUCCCCUCUACAUCUUCAGCUUUAUAAUAAGUACACUUUGGUAUGGUGACAUUGCUAAGCAUGCUUUGGCUGUUGUGAAAAGUAAGAAGCUGGAUGCAAGUCAAGCAUCUGACUCUGACCCUCACAGCACAUCUGUAUCAGCAGAUAGGCCUGAAGGAUUUGAUGGGGUUGCGAUUGGUGUUGGAGAGCAGGUCUAUUCGAUACUUCUUUUGACUAUUUUCUUUGCUGAGGUUACAGUGAUUGGUUACAUACCUUACCUUGGUAAGGCAAUGAACUUCAUGUUACUGUCUUUGAUGUAUGCCUACUACUGCUUCGAGUACAAGUGGAACUUCUUUGCAGUGAGCCUGAACCACCGGCUUGAUUUCUUUGAGUCAAAUUGGGCUUUCUUUGCCGGAUUUGGUAGUCCAUGUGUACUUCCGAUUUUCUUCUUCUCUCCUCUUACAAGUUAUGGUGUGAUGGCAAUACUAUACCCACUGUUUGUCAUGACAGCUGCUGGUACACAAGAAGAGCAAACCAUUGAUGAACUGAAAUCUUUGCAUGGAGGGAAACUGAAUAGAAUACCCUUGUUCUUUGUCGCGAAGCGACUAACGACGCAAGCGCUGCAGUUGUUCCCAGAGGCACAAAAGGAGCAAUGA
rnacentral:rRNA from 1 species